CACUGUGCCUCGAUGGCCAAUUCAUGCCUCGCGUCUGAGGUAGAGAAUCCCCUCCCGCCGGGCCCAGUUGUCAGAUGCAUCCUCUUCCUCGAAUUGCAGACUUGCUGGCAUCCUCGAUCCCAUCUCUAACCACAUCUUCCCUUUCAAACCCUCUUCCUCUUCUCCCAUCUAUCAUCGGGACAGCCGCUGGGGCGGAGCCGCAGCCCAGCCAGCAGCCGACUCUCGGGGAGAUUACGCUCAAGGAGUUCUUGGUCAGGGCCAUCGUCGUCCGGGACAACCCCGCCGCCGCGGCGAUGGCGGCGGUCCCUGCAAAGCCGGUGGCUCCGCGGCCGAUUCAGGUGGUCAGCAAUGGCGCCUCCAUGAUCCGCGGCGGCAGAGGAGGAUGAUCAAGAACAGGGAAUCUCUGCAGCUAGAUCCCGUGCACGGAAGCAGGUAAUACUCUUGUCUAGAAUUCUGGCAUGUGUCUGCUGCAGGUGUUGUACCUUGACAACAUGGAUUUUGGAACUCUGGACCAUAUACACUUACCAAUGCCCCGUGUUUGUUGUUAUGAGGAUCAAUUAUUAAGGCAACUAAUUGAAGCUGACAAAUAGCCUUGGGAUUGCUUUGGUCAAUCAAAGCCAAGAAAUGUUGGAUCAGUGUGUUACUCCAGGUGUAGGAGAAUGAAGGCUCCCACCACCCAAAAUAAUGCAGAUGUACGCAUGGUUUAGGGUUAUGUAGCUAUGCAACCAACUUGGUCUUUUGAAGUCCGGAAUCGCUGCUUUUCUUUACAGGAGGUUUGCUCGGAUGCUAGCCAAGAAAAGUUGAGUUUGGAGGUAGUUACCGCACUCUGUUUGGCAUUCUAGAUUUCUAUUUCUAAAGCAUUUGAUCAGGUCAUAGAGACACAGCACAAAGUCUUGAUGGAGAGCAUAAUUAGUUUGCUCAACCCUUGCCAUGAAGACCAAGAACAAAGGCAUGCACGGCGGGGCUUGAGAUGGAAGGUUCUAGCACGCCGGAGGAAAAUAGUUCAUCCUGUUCCAAUUUCAACCCAUCCUACCUACUCAAUGUAACUUUGUUGGCGAGGUGAAUUCCCUGGAUUUGAAGAAUAUGAAGAAAGCAACAAUGUUGCCAGCACUGGUGCUGUGCAUGAAGAUCUUCUUGGCACGAUUUUAGAAAACAAUAUGAUACAGCUAAUCACCACUGAUAUGGAAGCA